rnacentral:rRNA from 1 species
AGAAUCAACGCUGGCGGCGUGCCUAACACAUGCAAGUCGAACGAGAAAGGGGAGCAAUCCCUGAGUAAAGUGGCGACCGGGUGAGUAACACGUGACUAACCUACCUUCGAGUGGGGGAUAACCUCGGGAAACCGAGGCUAAUACCGCAUAACAUCGUGAGAUCAAAGCAGUAAUGCGCUGGAAGAGGGGGUCGCGGCUGAUUAGCUAGUUGGCGGGGUAAUGGCCCACCAAGGCGAAGAUCGGUAGCCGGCCUGAGAGGGCGCACGGCCACACCUGGAACUGAAACACGGUCCAGACUCCUACGGGAGGCAGCAGUGGGAAUUUUGCGCAAUGGGGGAAACCCUGACGCAGCAACGCCGCGUGGAGGAUGAAGUCCCUUGGGACGUAAACUCCUUUCGACCAAGACGAUAAUGACGGUACUGGUGGAAGAAGCACCGGCUAACUCUGCGCCAGCAGCCGC